ACACGUGGAAUAAAAAAUAUAAAAAUUCCUAGAAAAAUUGAAACUCUUCCGACAGAAAAGUGAACUCAUCUUCACUAAAUUUUAGUAGACAAUAAUAAAUCCCUUUCUGGAGGGUUGAAGGUGAAAAACCUCAAAAGGCCCCGCUGGGAUUCGAACCCAGGAUCUCCUGUUUACUAGACAGGCGCUUUAACCAGCUAAGCCACGGAGCCAGCACGCAAACGAGGAUUCGAAUCGACCAGGAAAAGGAAUGAUCAUUAUUUUAUAUAUAUAUAUAUUUUUUUUUCUUUUUCACUUUUUUACUAUUCAAAAACAACCCAGAUACUUCCCCAUUCCCUAAAAAAAAUAAAUAAAUAAAAAGAAGAAGAAGAAGAAGAAGAAGAAGAAGAAGAAGAAGAAGAAGAAGAAGAAGAAGAAGAAGAAGAAGAACCUUAGCCACAUCAUAUAAAGAAAUACAAAACCCAGCAUCUGCCGAGAAACCGGAGUUCCUCUUCGCCAGGAGUGAAGAAAACACAGGCAUGAGUGUGAAGCCUCCGAGCUUUUCACCUGGAAAUCAAAAAGGCCUGUCACAUGUUUCUAUUCCACACAUUGGACUUGGGAGGAGCAGACUGCUAUUUUCCUGCUGAUGAUUGUACUAAGGAAUGUGGGAGAGCUACUAAAGGCAAGACUGGAAGUUGGAAACUAAGUGACCAGAAAAGAAGACCCAGCAUAAAAUCCACAAAUAGAAAAAGGUAUCUUG